rnacentral:rRNA from 1 species
AUUCGAUGCAACGCGAAGAACCUUACCAGGCCUUGACAUUGACUGUAAGAGUUAGAGAUAACUCCCUCUCUUCGGAGACAGGAAAACAGGUGGUGCAUGGCUGUCGUCAGCUCGUGUCGUGAGAUGUUGGGUUAGGUCCCGCAACGAGCGCAACCCCUGUUCUUUGUUGCCAGCACGUAAUGGUGGGCACUCAAAGGAGACUGCCGCGGAGAACGCGGAGGAAGGCGGGGAUGACGUCAAGUCAUCAUGCCCCUUAUGGCCUGGGCUACACACGUACUACAAUGGAACGGACAGAGAGCAGCGAACCCGCGAGGGCAAGCGAACCUCAAAAACCGUUUCCCAGUUCGGAUUGCAGGCUGCAACCCGCCUGCAUGAAGUCGGAAUCGCUAGUAAUCGCAGGUCAGCAUACUGCGGUGAAUACGUUCCCGGGCCUAGUACAC